CAAUUCGUACGAAAAAAGCUAAUUGUGCUCAUCCGUCAUAUAUUUUUAGGUUAUAUCAUCUUUUCGAUCGUGUUAAGUUCUUGAUUUGUUCCUAUCUAUCUGCUGUGAUGAAAAAAUCGUGUUCCAGAGAUGUGUGCUUUUUGUUCAUCGUCACUGACGGUUAAACACAUCCCUCUAAGAAGUUCUGAGCUCUUUAUUCUUCUUUAGUUUAGCAAACAAAAAGUAUCGAAAUCCAGUAGUAGUUAUUAUAGGGAGUUAUAAGUCGAGGUGGCGAUAGAAAUUUCACAGGUCUGUCAAUCCCCUGAAACAUAUAAUGAUGUUAUUGUGAUAUCUCGACAGGUUCUGAUCGACUCAAUUCAAAAUUUAGAACUUUUUUUCGGUUUUUUUAUAUAUAUAUAUAUAAAAUGUUUUAAUGGAUCUGGGAAGAUGAUGAAUCUCAUAAAACAAAUGGGUAAUUUGCGACUGAUAUUAUAUUGAUGUCUAUUCACCUUGGAGAACUGAUUCUCAGAUUCAAAGUUUCUUGCUUUUUAUUAUUUGUUUUUACUGAUUUCAAGAAUCCUGGGCAUAUGAUGAAAUUAUAUUUCAUGGUUUUGUAUUUUCUCCCAAAGUUUUUUUGAAAACUGAAGGAUUGCUACAAAAGGAGAGAGCGAUGAUUAUGAUGAUGAUGAUGUUACCAUAGAACAAUCCAACUCUGACAUCUUCUGAUGAACUUUACAUCAUGCACUACCAUCUGAAUCUCGCUCUCCCUCUUUAUCUUUUAUUACAUGGUAAUUUUACUUGUUCAUAAACUGAUUCUGAAUCUUUUAGAAGUUGUAAUCGAUUUUGGUUAGAAGCAUAUGCACUAAUUAUUGCAGUUUAAAUGUUAUGAUUGUGGUUUUUCGAUUUGAUUAGAGGGAAAUACUUUGACAGAAUAUUCUGUCUUUGCAUGGUAAUCGUAGGAUUCUUUGGAAUGUGUUGUGGCUCAUCAACUUAGAAUGUAUGUUCUCUAGCUUAAGCCUUUACUCUAACGCCUGAAAGAACGAUGAGAUCUUGUAUGUGAGACUUUGUUGCUUGAAGUUUAUGAUUAGGUAUUCGAGGAAACACCCAUGUGGAUGAAGUAACAUGAAGAUGCAGUCACGACGUCAUUGGCGGAGAGUUACGUUUGGAGUUGCUUGUUUAAGAUUAUGUUAUUGUUGUUGUAUUAGCCAUUCAUCAUGCAAAGCUGUCAUC